GGUGUCGAGCGGUCCCGAGCCCCGGUGAGCCCGUGGUGCAGCCGCCGCAGCCUCUGUGGCCCCUCGAAGUGCCGCUACUUUGUUUGGCUUAACCAUUGCGUUUCCACAUUGUGCACUUUGAGGCCGCCUUUAAAGGGUCCUUUUCUUUUUUUUUCCCCUCCCCAGAUGAUUUCUAAUUCAAUAGAUAAACAUGGCUCAGUUUGAAAUACCGGAUAAUUCAAAAACUCUCUGCUCAGCUCCUCGUGUCAUGGUUCUGGGGUUUGAUUUUUUUUUUUAAUUUUUUUUUUCUUUGUAUCCGGAAACAAGUGUUGACAGCAGGUGAGUAACUCCACUGAUGUUCAUUAAGGCAACUUGCAGGCAUUUAUGUCUGAAGCUACACAGAGAUCUCCACAAUUCUCUGGGACCCCACUUGGCAUACUUUGACUGCCUGUGCUCUGACAGUUUUGCAAACCACCCCAUUCCUAUGUAGGGCAGGUCACUUGCUGCUGGAAGCCUGACAGACCACCAGGAGACUGGCACAGG